rnacentral:rRNA from 1 species
AUUGAACGCUGGCGGCAGGCCUAACACAUGCAAGUCGAACGGUAACAGGAAACAGCUUGCUGUUUCGCUGACGAGUGGCGGACGGGUGAGUAAUGUCUGGGAAACUGCCUGAUGGAGGGGGAUAACUACUGGAAACGGUAGCUAAUACCGCAUAACGUCGCAAGACCAAAGAGGGGGACCCUCGGGCCUCUUGCCAUCGGAUGUGCCCAGAUGGGAUUAGCUUGUUGGUGGGGUAACGGCUCACCAAGGCGACGAUCCCUAGCUGGUCUGAGAGGAUGACCAGCCACACUGGAACUGAGACACGGUCCAGACUCCUACGGGAGGCAGCAGUGGGGAAUAUUGCGCAAUGGGCGCAAGCCUGAUGCAGCAAUGCCGCGUGUAUGAAGAAGGCCUUCGGGUUGUAAAGUACUUUCAGCGGGGAGGAAGGGAGUAAAGUUAAUACCUGUGCUCAUUGACGUUACCCGAAGAAGAAGCACCGGCUAACUCCGUG